rnacentral:rRNA from 1 species
UUAUAACGACUCUCGGCAACGGAUAUCUCGGCUCUCGCAUCGAUGAAGAACGCAGCGAAAUGCGAUACCUGGUGUGAAUUGCAGAAUCCCGUGAAUCAUCGAGUCUUUGAACGCAAGUUGCGCCCGAGGCCAUUUGGUCUAGGGCACGCCUGCCUGGGUGUCA